rnacentral:tRNA from 1 species
UAUGGCAGAUUAGUGCAAAGGACUUAAACCCCUUACAUAAAGAUAUUUUCUUUUAUUAAAA